AUUGAACGCUGGCGGCAGGCCUAACACAUGCAAGUCGAACGAGCGGCGGACGGGUGAGUAAUGUCUGGGAAUCUGCCCGAUAGAGGGGGAUAACUACUGGAAACGGUGGCUAAUACCGCAUACCAUCGGAUGAACCCAGAUGGGAUUAGCUAGUAGGUGGGGUAAAGGCUCACCUAGGCGACGAUCCCUAGCUGGUCUGAGAGGAAGACCAGCCACACUGGGACUGAGACACGGCCCAGACUCCUACGGGAGGCAGCAGUGGGGAAUAUUGCACAAUGGGCGCAAGCCGGAUGCAGCCAUGCCGCGUGUAUGAAGAAGGCCUUAGGGUUGUAAAGUACUUUCAGCGGGGAGGCGUUACUCGCAGAAGAAGCACCGGCUAACUCCGUGCCAGCAGCCGCGGUAAUUC
rnacentral:rRNA from 1 species